UGUGUAACUAUAUCCCAGAGCACACUCUGAGAACCACAGUAGCGGUUCUAGAAAACUGCUGACCAAUCAGCACACCUUCUGAAUAUUAUGUGAAGAAGGAGAAAGUGUCAUCAUCUGUAUGAGUCCCGUUGACCUUGCCUGUGUUCAGGGAAUGCUCUCGUCACAGACCCCUUGUCCCAACCAUCCCAUCCCCAGCCCACCCCCAACUUCCCAUUCUGCUCAGGGCUGGUUAAGAGAUACUUUGCAGAACCUCUUUCAUACACUUGUAUACAUUUGGGAUAUGGCUUUAUUGAGUUCAAACUUGAGACUGUAAAGGACUAAUGGCAAUGUUCCUGAAUUUAGAUUUUAAGUGGUAGUAAAUUUAAAAAUCCAAAGUAGUUUAAAACACUCCCUUGCAAGACAAAACUUGUUGUCUUGAAACUAGCCAUACAGCACAAUGGAUUUCCCUUUUAUUUCAUUAACACACACAUACACUACCCUCCUACACACACACACAAUCUUUCCAUAUUAAGCUUAUCUUUCCAGACAUAAGGACUGGAGAGAUAAACAGAAGCCCCAGUGAUCAAUGUCAUGCUCUGAGAAACACAGUGGGUUUUGCAUUUAUCACUAGGAGGAAAAAAAAAAAACACCAUAUUUUUCUUACAGUUAAGAGUUGGUGGAAGUAUAACACAUCAAUCAGAAAACAAUUUAAACUGGGGAAAAGAUUUCCAAUAAGUGACCUGCAAAAGUAAAAAACAGAAAGAAAAAAAGAAAAUUCUGUAAAAACCACUUGCUCAAUGCUUCAAUCUUCCAAGCAUUCAAAUGGACAAAGGAAUCAGUACAAUCACAUCAGUACCAAUAUUGGGGAAAGAAUCUCCUAGAGAAUCACAGAAUCCUGGGUAGAAGAAGCAGCAGCAAACUGCUCUAAAUCAACUCUUCUGGUACAAAGCAAACGGAGCGAUAGGUCAGUUUGCAAAGGAAUCAAAUGAAAAAUUGCUUUCAAGGGCCUCAGAAUGGUCCCUGCUUUGAGGCAUUGGAAAAAAUUGAUUUCAGUAAUUGAAAGCGAGUUUUGCUGUGCAUGAACAAUCAGCUUCAUGGAAGAUUCUGCCUACAUGGUCCACUGAUUUUUGAUAUCUAAAUUAAGAUUGUUCCAUAUCCACAAACAAGCAAACAAGCCAGGCGGGCUAAAAUCUGUGUCCUUUUUUCCACAUGCUUAUAAAUAUAUGUCUAAAAGCUAGUUAUGACAAAUGCCAAUUAAGAUCUUCUGGACAUCAUAGCAAAUUGCUUCCCCCAUAUGGCAACAUUACCAAAGCUUAACAAAUAAAAGAUGAACCAAAUCUGGAUUGGAUUGUUGUCACCUGAUGAAGGAAACGCUUUCACAGGCAGGCACAGUUCUCAACCACAGCACAGGUAGCUAAAUUAUUUUGUUCGAUAAUCUAUCUUCUCAAUUCCAAAAUAUGAAAUUAAAUCCUCAUUUUUCCUCCAAGGUAGAAGCGUAAAUCAAAACAAAACAAAAAAGUGCCAAGCGUAAUUUCACACUCCUAAAGAUAGGAAGGAGUCAGGGGAUCCAAAACGAAUCUGACUAGUAUCCAUGAGGCUUUGGGUUCCAUCCCUGGCCUCUCUCAGUGGGUUAAUGAUCUGGCAUUGCCGUGUUCGCAGACAUGUCUCAGAUCCCAUGUUGCCGUGGCUGUGGCAUAGGCUGUCAGCAGCAGCUCAGAUUUGACCCCUAGCCUGGGAACCUACAUAUGCUGCGGGUACGGCCCUAAAAAGAAAAAAAUAAAUAAGUAAAAUUCCCCAUAUUGAAAUUCCAUCCAUCCUCACUAUAAGCUGAAGCAAUUGAACACAAAGUUCUGGAAUCUUCAUCAAGCCCUAGAAUCACUUUGCUCUUCCAUUCUCCCCACCUUGCUAAUCUUCUUGUGAUCACAUGACUCCUACUGAAUCCAGAAAGUGGUCACAUGGAUCUUACUGAAAUUAAUUUUUUUUUAAUUUUUUUUAUUUGUUGUUGUUGUUGUUGUUGUUGUUGUUGCUAUUUCUUGGGCCGCUCCUGCGGCAUAUGGAGGUUCCCAGGCUAGGGGUUGAAUUGGAACUGUAGCCACCGGCCUACGCCAGAGCCACAGCAACGCGGGAUCCGAGCUGCGUCUGCAACCUACACCACAGCUCACGGCAACGCCGGAUCGUUAACCCACUGAGCAAGGGCAGGGACCGAACCCGCAACCUCAUGGUUCCUAGUCGGAUUCGUUAACCACUGCGACACGACGGGAACUCCAGAAUUAAUUUUUUUAAGAAAAGAAAACAGUUAGUGAUUAUGAUGAUGACAAUUGGCCCAGGUGGCAUGGCUAGCACUUCCGUGAUGUUCUUCCCAAAUACUGGAUUUUCUUAAGCAAUCACUGCGCCAAGCUUAACAUAACUGCCUCCAUUCAUUUUUCCUGUGCCCUCCCCUGAUUCCAGAUAUUUGCUAAAGAAAAGGAUAGUAUUUUACUGACCUCCCUCUAAAUUCACGCUCACUUCUAAGGCACUCCUCACUGAUCAAAACCUUAUCAUUUAUCCCAGAUGCCUUCUUUAGCAUACUUCCUAAAUAAAUUAACCCAAAUUUUGCUAUCUUAAAUAUUUCCCACUUGAAGUCUCUUCUCCCACCUGAUUUCAUGAAUUGAUUUUCAUACAAUUUUACGUACAGCGGUGCCUUACAAAACACCGAAAAAUAGAGUUUGUAUAUUGAUAUAUUACAUUGAUAUGUAUAUUGAUACAUAUGAAUGAAAGCAAAAUCAACAAUAUUUAGUGUGAUUUCCACUUAAACUUCUAUUUCCUUUUUUCUAACUGGGGAAAAUCUCAUCCAAAGGCAGGUAAAGGAAGAUUUUCUCUGUUCAUCCCAUUCAGGCUCUUUUUUGUCAUGCUGUUUCUAUUGCUUUUGCUGUUCUUCCGAGUUCUAUGUUACGCUGUUCCAAUUGGGUCUGCAUCAAAAUAUUCAUAGAUGUUGCCACGUCUAUGAAUCUUGUCCCUCGGAACAAAUGGCGCAAAGCGCCCCAUCUCUUGGUCUGGCAGUUGACAAGUCCCCACUUUAAACAGAAGCUUGGCACAGCUCUUCCAAGAGCUGAUGAACAUGUGCAUGUGCUGGUGGUGGGGGUAGGAUUGGCAGUACACGUUCCCUUGAAUGGUCACUCUUGUUUCUUGGGGAUCACUUCUCUCUCCUUGGCUCAGUUCUCUGACUCUGGGGUAACCAAGCCCACCUCUGCUAUUUGCAUGGCUGAGACCCCUUCUCUUCCCAGUCACAACACUUCACUGCACCACGAGGAGCAUCACAUGCAUGAGUGUGGACACCCCAGUCCAAGCUCCAUACACAUGCAUCUGCAAGAGCUGUUCAUUGGCCAUGGCUGGGACCAUGGCCCAGGUGGGGAGAGGGAUGCAAAAGAAUCUAGCCCAGGCCCAAGAGCAAAUAAUUCCAGAGUCCCAGGCAUGGGACCUGUGGUCUUCAGGGGCUCUAUAUGCUGGAGGAGAAGGACGAUGGGCCCAGAGUUGGGCAAAGCCUUUUAAAUCAGGGGAGCAAUGCAGGACCCUAUUGCCAGGGUCUGAGGACAGUACUGCUGCCCUUUCAGUCACUUCCUGAUCUGUAUAACAGGUACCAAUGGACAGCAGUGCCCAAGCCUUUCACAUGGAAAACACCACCUUUAUCCCAAAGCAAUUAAUUGCCAUGACUUUUUUUUUUUUUUUUGCUCUUUUUAAGGGCCACACCUGUGACAUAUGGAGGUCCCAGGCUAGGGGUCGAACCAGAGAUACAGAUGCCGGCCUACACCACAGCCACAGCAACACCGGAUCCUUAACCCACUGAGCCAGGCCAGGGAUCAAAUGCACAACCUCAUGGUUCCUAGUCAAAUUCGUUUCCACUGUGCCACGAUCGGAACUCCCUCUCAUGAUUUUUGUGCUGCGCUGUCAAACAUUCCUUAAUCUGUGUGGCCCGAAGGGUCAACCAUUUUUUACCACCAUCAACUGAGAUUCACACAAAUCUUCAUUUUCCUCCCCUUUUCGUUUCACCUUGAUAGAAGUCCUUUCCUCCUGAAUCCUGGCUUCCUUACCUCCUUUCUCAAAGGACAUCCAUCCCUCAUGAUGGGAUGCAAAAUGGCUUGAGGUGAUACAUGGGAUGGACUUUUCUGAAAGUUAUAUACUGAAUUUAAUUCAUGUUAUCAAAAUCCAGCCAGCAUAUCAGGCUGGCAGUGUUUUUGCAUAGAUUGAUGCUGAGUAAAAAUCUGAGUGGACUUUAAAUACUUGACACUUGAACAAAUCAGGGUUAAGGGUAUUCCACCCUCCAAGCAGAUGAAAAUCUGCAUCUAACUUACAAGCAACCCUUCAGAUUCCCAGUUGUACAUCCUCGGAUUCAACCAACCUAGGGUCGGGUAGUGCUGUAUUAUUUACUAUUAAAAAAAAAUCCAUGCACAUGGAGCUAUGUACUUCAAACCCAUGUUGCUCAAGGGUCAGCAGUAUACAUAUGCCUACAUAUUUAUAUUCAUAAAUUAGUCUAAAGAGUUGACCGAAAUACAGAGAAAUGGUGAUGGUGGAACAGAAUGAUAGAAGUUUGAGAAAUUGAUAGCAACGAACCUGGAGAAUGAUGUCAUGGGGAAAGGGAAGCUGGUGUUUCUAGAAAGGAUAUAUUGUGAUGCUCGAGACCUGUGGCUCUGGGUUCAUGGAGAUCUGAGUUUGAGACUCUGCACUUCUCCUGUGAGUUCUCUGACCUUGGGCACUUGUCUUUUUUUUUUUUUUUUUUUUUAAUUGUGAGAUGGAUAAUAAUCAGAGCUCUGUCAUUGGGAUGGCACACAGAUGAAAUGAGCCAUCUCAUAUAAAGCACUUGCAUGAGCCCUGGCAAUAUGAUUAUGCAGGAGUGGUCAGUGGGAUCAGGUGCUGCAGAGGGUCGAGGAGGGUAAGGAUUGGAGGAUUUCCUCUAGAGUCACACAACAGAGGAGGCCCUGGGAAUAUGAAAAGAGCGAUUUACAACAAGUAAGAGGAAUAGACACUAGACUGCAGGGGGGCCAAAGGAUAUAACCUGAGAGGAGUUCCUGUUGUGGCUCAGCAGGUUAAGACCCCAUCAUAGCGUCUGUGAGGAGGCAGGUUCCAUCCCCGGUCUUGCUCAGUGAAUUAAGGCAAGCUGCAGCGUAGGUCACAGAUGUGGCUCGGAUCCAGUGUUGCUGUGGCUGUGGCAUAGGCCUGCAGCUGUAGCUCCAAUUUGACUCCUAGCCUGGGAACUUCCAUAUGCUGU
rnacentral:lncRNA from 1 species